GACGAACGCUGGCGGCGUGCCUAACACAUGCAAGUCGAACGGGACUUUUGGCUUCGGCCGAAAGUUUAGUGGCGAACGGGUGAGUAACGCGUGAGGAACCUGCCUUUCAGUGGGGGACAACAGUUGGAAACGACUGCUAAUACCGCAUAAUGUAUCGAAGGGGCAUCCCUUUGAUACCAAAGCUUUAUGUGCUGAAAGAUGGCCUCGCGUCUGAUUAGAUAGUUGGUGAGGUAACGGCUCACCAAGUCUGCGAUCAGUAGCCGGUCUGAGAGGAUGAACGGCCACAUUGGGACUGAGAUACGGCCCAGACUCCUACGGGAGGCAGCAGUGGGGAAUAUUGGGCAAUGGGGGAAACCCUGACCCAGCAACGCCGCGUGAAGGAAGAAGGCCUUCGGGUUGUAAACUUCUUUUACCAGGGACGAAGAACGUGACGGUACCUCGGAGAAAAAGCAACGGCUAACUACGUG
rnacentral:rRNA from 1 species